CCCUUAGAUGUUCUGGGCCGCACGCGCGCUACACUGAUGCAUUCAACGAGUUUCUUCCUGGUCCGAGAGGAAUGGGUAACCUUUUGAAAGUGCAUCGUGAUAGGGAUAGACUAUUGCAAUUAUUGGUCUUCAACGAGGAAUUCCUAGUAGACGUAGUUCAUCAGACUGCAUCGAUUACGUCCCUGCCCUUUGUACACACCGCCCGUCGCUCCUACCGAUUGAAUGCUCAGGUGAGCCAUUCGGACUUUCAUCAUGCUGGUUUCCAGUUUUGAUGAAGGAAAGUCUUGCGAACCUUAUCAUUUAGAGGAAGGAGAAGACGUAACA
rnacentral:rRNA from 1 species